rnacentral:rRNA from 5 species
CAGGUGCAUGCCUCUA